CUGUAGUUUCAGAAAGAGUGAGAGAACUUUGCAGCUUGAAAGACAUUCAACACGUGGCUGCCGCCUGAACAAGACUGGUUUGAAUCUUCGUACUUGUAUAUAUUUCAGCAAACGGGGAGAACAUUUACUGAAAAACGACGUUUGUCGAAAGACUAAACGGGUGACCACUUAAGGGAAAGAUGCAGUUUAGCCUGAUUUCAACCUCUCUUCUCUGUUUCACGACAUGGAUGAACCUGGUCCAAGCAACCAUUGGAUAUUGUCCGUGUGUUACGCUCUCCAAUAAAAAAGUCCCUCACUCUAGAAUUAACGGAUACAGCAUUCAGAAGAAAGAUCCCUGUUUGUUUACAGCAGUUGCGUUUCUGACAGACGCUGGAAAGAUAAUAUGCUCCACCGAGAAUGACUGGACAAAACGUGUAAUUCAGCAGCUGGAAAAAAGACAAAAUAAAAAAGCAGUGGCAAAACUUAUCAACUUCUGCACCUGGAAUGGAACCACAAUCAACAACAACAACAGCACCAGGAUCUUGAAGGAGACGACAGGAUAAGAGGAAAAUAAGGGAAUUGCAGAAAAGAUGUGCAAAGACAUCAAAGUGAUUUCCCUUAAGAAAUGUUGUUCUAAGAAAUAUGACAUACAAUACUUAAAUGCAGUGGUUUUAAAUUUUUUCCAGCUUAAAAACACUUUCUAACACCUAAUAAUUGUUCUGUGACUCUUCCUGGGUGUCCAGACCAGGUGGCGAGUGAAAGCUUUAAUGUAUCACAACAAAAUAUUAUGAAGCUCUGCUUUAUAUCUGUAUUAUAGU